rnacentral:rRNA from 1 species
GACGAACGCUGGCGGCGUGCCUAAUACAUGCAAGUAGAACGCACAGUUUAUACCGUAGCUUGCUACACCAUAAACUGUGAGUUGCGAACGGGUAAGUAACGCGUAGGUAACCUGCCUGGUAGCGGGGGAUAACUAUUGGAAACGAUAGCUAAUACCGCAUAAUAUUGAUUAUUGCAUGAUAAUUGAUUGAAAGAUGCUAUUGCAUCACUACCAGAUGGACCUGCGUUGUAUUAGCUAGUAGGUGAGGUAACGGCUCACCUAGGCGACGAUACAUAGCCGACCUGAGAGGGUGAUCGGCCACACUGGGACUGAGACACGGCCCAGACUCCUACGGGAGGCAGCAGUAGGGAAUCUUCGGCAAUGGACGAAAGUCUGACCGAGCAACGCCGCGUGAGUGAAGAAGGUUUUCGGAUCGUAAAGCUCUGUUGUAAGAGAAGAACGGGUGUGAGAGUGGAAAGUUCACACUGUGACGGUAUCUUACCAGAAAGGGACGGCUAACUACGUG